AGCUCCAGUAGCGUAUACUAAUGUUGCUGUUCUUAGAAAGCUCGUAGCUUAUUUUCUGCGAGUGGCUUUGUGUUUCUUGGUUUUUUCAUUAAUUCCUUGUAUAACGCUCUUUUGCCUCUCGCUUUCUUUUUGUAAUUUUUUAAAUUGCAAAAUCUUUCACUGAAACUAAAAUGAAGUGCUCCAAGAAGAUCGUAUGAUCUAUUGAACAAUUCAGUUUGGAAUGAAACUAUAGGGUGGUCUGUUUUGUUUGAUAUCGGACAGAUCACAAUAAUCUCUAGGAAGAAUCGGGGGUGCUUGUAUUCUGUGGACAGAGGUGAAAUUCUUUAACCCACAAAAGACAAACUGAUGCGAAAGCUUUCACCAAACUUCUCUCCU
rnacentral:rRNA from 1 species